rnacentral:rRNA from 1 species
UCGAGGAUCUUCGGCAAUGAGCGCAAGCUUGACCGAGCGACGCCGCGUGCGGGAUGAAGGCCUUCGGGUUGUAAACCGCUUUGGUCCGAGAGUAAGGCCCUUCACGGGGCUUGAACAAUCGGAGAAACAAGCACGGGCUAAGUUCGUGCCAGCAGCCGCGGUAAGACGAACCGUGCGAACGUUGUUCGGAAUCACUGGGCUUAAAGGGCGCGUAGGCGGCCGGGUUGGUCGUGGGUGAAAUCCCCCAGCUUAACUGGGGAAUUGCCUACGAUACUGCCUGGCUCGAGGGAGGAAGGGGCGGCCGGAACUGUCGGUGGAGCGGUGAAAUGCGUUGAGAUCGACAGGAACGCCGGUGGCGAAAGCGGGCCGCUGGCCCUCUUCUGACGCUGAGGCGCGAAAGCCAGGGGAGCGAACGGGAUUAGAUACCCCCGUAGUCC